rnacentral:rRNA from 1 species
CCUACGGGUGACAGCAGUGGGGAAUAUUGGACAAUGGGGGGAAGCCUGAUCCAGCGACGCCGCGUGAGUGAAGAAGUAUUUCGGUAUGUAAAGCUCUAUCAGCAGGGAAGAAAGAAAUGACGGUACCUGACUAAGAAGCCCCGGCUAACUACGUGCCAGCAGCCGCGGUAAUACGUAGGGGGCAAGCGUUAUCCGGAUUUACUGGGUGUAAAGGGAGCGUAGACGGCGAUGCAAGUCUGAAGUGAAAGGCUGGGGCCCAACCCCCGGACUGCUUUGGAAACUGUAUGGCUGGAGUGCAGGAGAGGUAAGUGGAAUUCCUAGUGUAGCGGUGAAAUGCGUAGAUAUUAGGAGGAACACCAGUGGCGAAGGCGGCUUACUGGACGGUAACUGACGUUGAGGCUCGAAAGCGUGGGGAGCAAACAGGAUUAGAUACCCCAGUAGUC